UGUCCAAUGCGGGAAUCGAACCCGGGGUCCUAGUGGUCGAAAACCAAACGGUUUAACCAGCCUUCCACCGACCAAGGC